rnacentral:rRNA from 1 species
GACGAACGCUGGCGGCGUGCUUAACACAUGCAAGUCGAGCGGUAAGGCCCUUUCGGGGGUACGACGAGCGGCGAACGGGUGAGUAACACGUGGGUGACCUGCCCUCCAGCUCUGGGAGUAAGCCUGGGAAACGUGGGUCUAAUACCGGAUAUGACUCCAUGACGCAUGUUGGUGGGGUGGAAAGCCUUGUGCGGCUGAGGAUGGGCCCGCGGCCUAUCAGCUUGUUGGUGGGGG